CAACAUUAUUUGAUAAGAACAGUUUAACGGCGAUUCGUAAAUACAUUUACGCCCUGUUUUCAGUGCAAUUCAUAUGUACCCAACCUUCUACUUGUGAUAUUGAACCUUGUGGUACAAUUUCAGAGCAAUCACAAUACUUAUACACAAGUUAUUGUCCUGAAACUAGAAAAAUGCUUGUUUUGGGCCCCUAAUUCCUAAACGGUUGGGACCAUCACCCCCAAAAACAAUCCCAACCUUCCUUUUGUGGUAUUGAACCUUCCAUACAAAUAAACUAAAGUUAUUGUUCGGAAACCAAAUGUCUUCGGACACAAUACGACCCCAAUUUUUUUUUGCGGUCGUAUACAAAUGACUAUAGCACAAUAUCACAAUGGCGGGAUGUAUAAGUACCGAUCAACGCCAAAAGAUUAUUACUAAAAUUGACUACACUUUAUAUUUCCAUCAACUGCAAAGGACUGCAUAUUUAUUUAUAGCAGCUCAAAAACAGGGUCCAGAAAGGGAUGGCAGACAUGAGAUCCAUUAAAACUGAGGGAAAAUAGAAACGAAAAAAGUACAUAUAAAUAAGAAGAUGUUGUAUGAGUGCCAAUGAGACAACCCUCCAUCCAAGUCACAAUGUAUAAAAAGUUAACAAUUAUAGGUCAGAGUACGGUCUUCAACAAGUAGCCUUGGCUCCAACGAACAGCAAACAAAAGGGCCCCAAAAUGACUAGUGUAAAACAAUUCAAACAGGAAAACCAACGGUUUAAUCUAUAUAUAUAUAUAUAAACGAGAAACGAAAAAUACCUAUGAACCACACCAACGCACGACAACCACUGAACAACAAGCUCCUGAUUAUCUAUAACAUCUCAGAAAACUUCACUCAAUAUAUUAUAAAACAAAUGUUUUAAAGAUGAUUGGUAUGUAAUCUUAAAAUUUACCCAAAUUAUGUUUUAAUAAAAUAACGUGUUUCUCGG
rnacentral:lncRNA from 1 species